UGUCACUCUGACUGGCAGAACGUCUGAGUCGCUCUGUCCUGUGCUUGUUUGCAGGUGCGACUGGAAGUGAAGGUCAUCCAGCUUCCCCUGCGAGUUCCAGGAGUGAAACUCCGGCAGACCACGCGGGUCCGGAAAGACGAAAGUUUACACCUAGAGGAGGGUAUUACGCCUGGUGGUCAUCCGGUGUCCCAAGGAAACCCACGAGAAAAAUGGGGAAGGCAGUGCCUGGCGGGACUAAAGGCACUGAGCAAGAGACUGUGCAGAAGGAGCUGUUGCAGGAAGGCAGCAGUGACGCGCAGCCAGUCUCUGACCGGAAAACUCAGGCAGAACAAGCAGCUGGUUUGCCAGGGGUGGAUCUUGGGAAAAUCACAAAGGCUGCUGUUGGCAAGGAGCUGCAGAAACGCCACAUCCCAGUGGUUGCUGUGGUCUCAGCCGCGCUGCUGUCCGUGCUGACGCUGGCCUGUGUUCCUAUGCUAUGGAUGUGGAAAAAAUAUCUGUGAGUUGACUUUUCCCCAGGACACUGUAUCGCUGCAUUUGGCUACAAAGCACUUGUGGUGACAGGAUCCCGAUGGCCAAAUCAGCUGCUGGCAGUACACUGCCAGGAUUUACGUUGCAAGGCCUUCCAAGCGUCCC